GCCCUUGUAGUUCAAUGGAUAGAACAACGGGCUUCUAUCCCGUCAAUGUGGGUUCGAGUCCUACCGGGGGCACUA
rnacentral:tRNA from 1 species